CAUUUUUUUCAAGCGCCAGAACUAGGCCCCGGGACGUGCGGGGGCUUAGUUGACGAGGUGGAGGUUUAUCGAGGUGUUCGGCGGGUGCCUCCCGGCUGCGCGCACACGCAGUCGAAAGCCAUCUUCUCCAAAACAUUAAGGCGACUUAAUGGACAAAGGAAGAUGGAAUGUGUGC
rnacentral:ncRNA from 2 species